rnacentral:rRNA from 1 species
AACGAACGCUGGCGGCAUGCCUAACACAUGCAAGUCGAACGAGACCUUCGGGUCUAGUGGCGCACGGGUGCGUAACGCGUGGGAACCUGCCCUUAGGUUCGGCAUAACUCCCCGAAAGGGGUGCUAAUACCGGAUAAUGUCUUCGGACCAAUGAUUUAUCGCCUUUGGAGGGGCCCGCGUUGGAUUAGCUAGUUGGUAGGGUAAAAGCCUACCAAGGCGACGAUCCAUAGCUGGUCAGCGAGGAUGAUCAGCCACACUGGGACUGAGAAACGGCCCAGACUCCUGGGGAAGGGGGGAGGGGGGAAUAGAGGAAGGUGGGGGAAGUCCAGAACCUCCAAGGCCGGUUGAGGGAUUAAGGGUUGGGGGUGGAAAAGCUUUUUUACCCGGGGUUGUAAUGACGUUACCGGGAAAAUAAGCCCCGGCUAACCCCGG